rnacentral:ncRNA from 1 species
GAGAGAAGGCCUCUCGCAAUCGCUAUACAGGUAGAGAUUGCAAACCGCCCUAAGGUGCUGUAGUCAAAAGCUAUGGUAUUGAGCGUUAGGGAAAAAGGCAGUGCAAGACACUGUCAGGU